rnacentral:misc_RNA from 1 species
GAAAUUCGAUAAGUAAUGUGAAUUGCAGAAUUCAGUGAAUCAUCGAAUCUUUGAACGCACAUUGCGCCCGCCAGUAUUCUGGCGGGCAUGCCUGUCCGAGCGUCAUUUCAACCAUCAAGCCCCCGGGCUAGUGUUGGGGACCUGCGGCUGCCCGCAGGCCCUGAAAACCAGUGGCGGGCUCGCUGUCACACCGAGCGUAGUAGCAAUCACCUCGCUCAGGGCGUGCUGCGGGUUCCGGCCGUUAAACAGCCUUACAAAACCCAAGGUUGACCUCGGAUCAGGUAGGAAGACCCGCUGAACUUAAGC